UUGGUGUAUUGUAUAGUUCUAGGGAUUGUAUUUCACUCAAAACCCACCAAAUGACUCCUCCCACAAUAUUAUGAUGUUCCCCAAGUUUUGGACUCAAUCCGAUAUCGAUUGGUCCUUCAACUCGGACAAUUCAGGUUCCUACGAAGUUCGUUCUGAAAUGGGGUGGUUCGUGUAUUGUAUAGUUCUAGAGAUUGGAUUUCACUCAAAACCCACCAAAUGACUCCUCCCACAAUAUUAUGAUGUUCCCCAAGUUUUGGACUCAAUCCGAUAUCGAUUGGUCCUUGAAAUCGGACAAUUCAGGUUCGUACGAAGUUCGUUCUGAAAUGGGGUGGUUGGUGUAUUGUAUAGUUCUAGAGAUUGGAUUUCACUCAAAACCCACCAAAUGACUCCUCCCACAAUAUUAUGAUGUUCCCCAAGUUUUGGACUCAAUCCGAUAUCGAUUGGGGCCUUGAAAUCGGACAAUUCAGGUUCCUACGAAGUU
rnacentral:lncRNA from 1 species